rnacentral:rRNA from 1 species
CCUACGGGAGGCAGCAGUGGGGGAUAUUGCACAAUGGGGGAAACCCUGAUGCAGCGACGCCGCGUGUGGGAAGACGGUCCUCUGGAUUGUAAACCACUGUCCCCAGGGACGAAGAUGACGGUACCUGGGGAGGAAGCUCCGGCUAACUACGUGCCAGCAGCCGCGGUAAUACGUAGGGAGCGAGCGUUGUCCGGAAUUACUGGGAGUAACGGGAGCGUAGGCGGGACUGCAAGUUGGGUGUCAAAUCUACCGGCUCAACCGGUAGCCGCACUCAAAACUGCAGUUCUUGAGUGAAGUAGAGGCGGGCGGAAUUCCUAGUGUAGCGGUGAAAUGCGUAGAUAUUAGGAGGAACACCAGUGGCGAAGGCGGCCUGCUGGGCUUUUACUGACGCUGAGGCUCGAAAGUGUGGGGAGCAAACAGGAUUAGAUACCCCAGUAGUC